AAGUGAAAUCGAUAAUCAAAUAAUGAGUAAACGUUCGAAAUGAUUUGAACUUUCCAAGAUUGAAGAUUCGAAUUACUUCGAAUAUAAUUCGAAGUCUAAAAAUUUUGCAAAGCAUCUUAUAAUAACUUUCAAAAAUUCUAGAUUUUCAAUUAUAUUCGAAAUGAUCUGAAUUUUUCGUCACAUUUAAAAGUGUUUCAAAUCCCAUCAUUGCAAAUGAUUAUAAUUAUUAUCACUAAUAAUAAUAAUGAGCCCUUCGAGAGUCGGCAGAAAACUUGAGUCACCGAAGGCAGCCGAAGGUGAGCAUGCGUCGCAGGGCCAACCGAGUUUAGCCGAGACAAGGCGAAACGAACCGAACGAAUCAAACGAACCAAGCGAAGCGACGUGGAUACAAGAGCGUUGUUAGGUCAUUGACUGCCGGUGGCCACCGAUCCGCGAGUAUCCAAGGACAGCCGCUCCGACGCCUCGCGAUCUCUUUCUCUCUCUACCCAUUUUCCCGUUCUUCCGACCUCUCUUUCUUUGAUUCUCUUUUCCUUCUAUUCGGUCUUAUCAUCUCAUUUCAUUCUGUUCCGUUUAGAAAAAAGCUAUUGGAUGAAUAUCGUAUGAUAUUAAAAGUUUGCAAUUGACUAAUGAUAGUAAGUAUCCCAGUAAUCUUUAAUAAAUGAAGAAAAACAUGUUCAAAAUAUAGUCUUUGAAUCAUUCAAGAAUAUAUAUUAUAUCGUAUUAUUGGAAUACUUGAAUGCGAAUAUACUCAUAUGACUUCAAAUAAAACUAAAUUACAGAAAUUGUGUCGUAAAAUUUUCAAGCGUAUAAUAAUCAGCUUCAGCUAAUAGAACAAGUUAAAGAGUGAAAUUUGGUAUACAAGAAUCUUUUCAGAAUUUAAAUAUUUCUUUUUAUCUUUAACUUACGUUUACAAUCGAUUCGAAGGUAAUAUAUAAUUCUUCUUCGAUGGCAUGAACCUUGUCCCUCAACUUGGAUGAUCAUUUGAUCCUAAUAAAAUAUGAUUGUACAAUUUCGUUGCAAGAUAUCCAAUGAUAGCAAUAAUAAAUGGAAGAUUUUCCAAAAGCUGACAGAAUAUAAAUGCACAGAAAUUUAUUAUUUUCGAUGAGUAUUACAAUUAUAAAAUGUGAAUCGAUAUAUAAUAAAAAU